CGAACGACGCGUCGCCGAAGCAUCUUCGGCCCGACCGCAGGCUGCCUGUAACCAACCGAGGACAAUAACGAUCGAUCGUUUCUUUUCUUCGAAACGUCGCGGUCAACGCUGUCCGUUCAACGAACACGCUAUGGCACUAUUGUAUACCGUGUACGCGUUCUGUCCGGUAACGAGAGAUUCGUUUGCUUUGGUACGAUGUCGCUUGUCGUCGCUGUCAUACUCGUUCGUUUCUUUCUUCCGCUCGGAUCUCCCGUUUCCCUUCCGAGGCUGUGAACGUGACCGUGACCAA